rnacentral:rRNA from 1 species
UAAGACGUAGGAUGCGAGCGUUGUCCGGAUUUAUUGGGCGUAAAGAGUUCGUAGGCGGUUUGUUAAGUCUGGUGUUAAAGAUCAGGGCUCAACCCUGGGAGUGCAUUGGAUACUGGCAGACUUGAGUGCAGUAGAGGCGAGUGGAAUUCCCAGUGUAGCGGUGAAAUGCGUAGAUAUUGGGAAGAACACCGGUGGCGCAGGCGACUCGCUGGGCUGUAACUGACGCUGAGGAACGAAAGCUAGGGGAGCAAAUGGGAUUAGAUACCCCAGUAGUCCUAGCUGUAAACGAUGGAUACUAGGCGUUGCAGGUAUCGACCCCUGCAGUGCCGCAGUUAACGCGAUAAGUAUCCCGCCUGAGUAGUACGGCCGCAAGGUUG